rnacentral:rRNA from 1 species
ACGGUGACGUGGAGCAAACCUCAGAAAGCCAAUCUCAGUUCGGAUUGUAGGCUGCAACUCGCCUACAUGAAGUUGGAAUCGCUAGUAAUCGCAGAUCAGCAUGCUGCGGUGAAUACGUUCCCGGGUCUUGUACACACCGCCCGUCACACCAUGGGAGUCGGAAAUGCCCGAAGUCAGUGGCCCAACCGGAAGGAGGGAGCUGCCGAAGGCAGGUCCGGUGACUGGGGUGAAGUCGUAACAAGGUAGC